CCUCCGCAGUCUAUGCUGCGCACGUCCGCGAAACCACCCCACGCCUCCACUCCGAUUUCUCCGCGCACGAGCCUCUACUCCUGAAACCCCGCGCGUCACCUCGAGCCCCUCUCUUUUCUCCUCAGUUGCCCCCAACUUCCUCGCUCGAUUUCGCAUCGGUUAGAGAUUAAUUACUCGUCGGAGUUCGACACUGCCGUCGCCGUUCUUCGCGUUUUCGCCGCCGUUCCCGUGAGAAUCUCCCCGCACCGACCC
rnacentral:lncRNA from 1 species